rnacentral:rRNA from 1 species
CCUACGGGUGGCUGCAGUGGGGAAUAUUGGACAAUGGGCGAAAGCCUGAUCCAGCCAUGCCGCGUGUGUGAAGAAGGCCUUCGGGUUGUAAAGCACUUUCAGUGGGGAAGAAAGCCUUGGGGCUAAUACCCUCGAGGAAGGACAUCACCCACAGAAGAAGCACCGGCUAACUCCGUGCCAGCAGCCGCGGUAAUACGGAGGGUGCGAGCGUUAAUCGGAAUUACUGGGCGUAAAGCGCGCGUAGGCGGUCUGAUAAGCCGGUUGUGAAAGCCCCGGGCUCAACCUGGGAACGGCAUCCGGAACUGUCAGGCUAGAGUGCAGGAGAGGAAGGUAGAAUUCCCGGUGUAGCGGUGAAAUGCGUAGAGAUCGGGAGGAAUACCAGUGGCGAAGGCGGCCUUCUGGACUGACACUGACGCUGAGGUGCGAAAGCGUGGAUAGCAAACAGGAUUAGAUACCCGUGUAGUC